ACUUUAAUAGCUUAAUUUUUAGAGCGCAACACUGAAGAUGUUGAUGUGGUAUUUACUACCUUUGAGUA
rnacentral:tRNA from 2 species